rnacentral:rRNA from 1 species
UACGUAGGGUCCGAGCGUUGUCCGGAAUUAUUGGGCGUAAAGGGCUCGUAGGCGGUUCGUCACGUCGGGAGUGAAAACUCGGAGCUUAACCCCGAGCCUGCAGUGGAUACGGGCAGACUAGAGGUAGGUAGGGGAGAAUGGAAUUCCCGGUGUAGCGGUGAAAUGCGCAGAUAUCGGGAGGAACACCGGUGGCGAAGGCGGUUCUCUGGGCCUUACCUGACGCUGAGACGCGAAAGCGUGGGUAGCAAACAGG